CUCCAGAUGUUGCUGAACUACAACUCCCAUGGUUCUAUGAUUGAAAUGGGCUGAGAAUCAUGGGAGUUGUAGUUCAGCAACAUCUAGAG
rnacentral:miRNA from 1 species